GCGGAUGUGCUGGAACUGGCAGACAGGCACGUUUGAGGGGCGUGUGUCGAAAGGCGUAUGGGUUCAAGUCCCAUCAUCCGCACCA
rnacentral:tRNA from 1 species